rnacentral:rRNA from 1 species
UACAGAGGGUGCGAGCGUUGUCUGGAAUCACUGGGCGUAAAGGGCGCGUAGGUGGCGGCCCAAGUCCAUGGUGAAAGCUCGAUGCUCAACAUCGAGUCGGCCACGGAUACUGGGUUGCUCGAGCACUGUAGGGGCAGAUGGAAUUCCGGGUGUAGCGGUGGAAUGCGUAGAGAUCCGGAAGAACACCGGUGGCGAAGGCGGUCUGCUGGGCAGUUGCUGACACUGAGGCGCGACAGCGUGGGGAGCAAACAGG